GACCUGGUAGCACAAUGGUUAGUGCCUCUGCUCAUGUUAUGGGACUGAGAUUUUCAGCAGAUGAUCCCCGUUCAAUUCGGGGUCAGGUCA